rnacentral:tRNA from 1 species
GCCUGGGUGGCUCAGUCGGUUAAGCGUCUGACUUUGGGUCAGGUCAUGAUCUCACGGUUUGUGGGUUGAAAUCCCGCAUUGGGCC